GAAAUUAACUCUGCUCUCUUCUGUCUCCAUCUUUGUUUCCCUGGGCUUCUCAGAUAAAAGCAUUUUCACCCGGCUUGAGGGGAGUCUCAAUUUGAAAGAUAUUUGUCAAGUAACUCUCAGCAACUACUAAUAUGUCUGGUCUCAACCCAAGAAAGAGCAGCCUGGUUUAAAAGAUGGUCCCCAUGUUCCUGUGUGGGUAUGGGCGGUUACUAGAGGCUGGUUAAGAAGGUGAAGGGCAAAACCAGGUCAGUCUUACUAGGAAGAGGGCCCAAGUGACAGCUGAUGAGAUGAGCCAGUGAUCUAGAAGAGAAGCAAUGGCCAGGAAAUCAUCUAAGCAAACUGACAGCCCUGGCCUGGGUGGGAGAUGGCCCCACGGAAGGAUUCCAGACUGCAUUCAGCCCACCCCUCACAACUGUGUGAUUCU
rnacentral:lncRNA from 1 species